UACUCCGGCGUGGUCGCUCACUCGCAGACCGGCCGGUGUGUGAGAGUGUGGGCAGAAAUGUGACUGCGGGCGUCUUUCACUGCAUUUCAUCACUGACAACAGCUGAAGAUGAUGCGAAGAGCAAGAAUCAGUGUUAAGCCUAACUUCAGGCCUGGAGGUCGAAGCCUUCCAGCUGGACAGCAGCCCUCACAAACUCCUGCAGAUGGAAACAACACCCCGCCCACAGUCACAGCUGAAGAAGCGGUCAGACCAUCACCCUCUCCCCAGCGAAAGCCACCAGUGGAAGAGCCUGCAGAGGCAGUGGGUGUUGAAAAUGCCCCCAACUCGCCUUCAGAGAAAACCUCAGCUGAUGUAAAUAAUGGAGCACGCUCAAGCUGCACCACCACCCCAGCGGCUGUUCCACAGAGAAGGGUGAGGGUCUCGGCCACCCCAAAACUUGUUGGU